rnacentral:lncRNA from 1 species
AGAUGUAACCCAAUUCCAGUACUGGAAGCUUCAUUUGGUGACAAGAAAUAGCCAGUUAGGGUUCUGUCUUCCCCGCUAUUUGACAGUUUCAUUUAGAUUGCCUCCAUAUAUGCUGCGAAUCAAGAUGUAGAGCUCUCAGCUCCUACUCCAUCACCAUGUCUGCCUGCAUGCCACCAUGUUUCCUGCCAUGAACUAAAUAAUGAACUAAACCUCUGAACUGUAAGCCAGCCCCAAUUAAAUGUUCCUUUAAAGAGUUGCAAU